rnacentral:rRNA from 1 species
AGUGAACGCUGGCGGUAGGCCUAACACAUGCAAGUCGAACGGCAGCACAGUAAGAGCUUGCUCUUACGGGUGGCGAGUGGCGGACGGGUGAGGAAUACAUCGGAAUCUACUUUUUCGUGGGGGAUAACGUAGGGAAACUUACGCUAAAACCGCAUACGACCUACGGGUGAAAGCAGGGGAUCUUCGGACCUUGCGCGAUUGAAUGAGCCGAUGUCGGAUUAGCUAGUUGGCGGGGUAAAGGCCCACCAAGGCGACGAUCCGUAGCUGGUCUGAGAGGAUGAUCAGCCACACUGGAACUGAGACACGGUCCAGACUCCUACGGGAGGCAGCAGUGGGGAAUAUUGGACAAUGGGCGCAAGCCUGAUCCAGCCAUACCGCGUGGGUGAAGAAGGCCUUCGGGUUGUAAAGCCCUUUUGUUGGGAAAGAAAAGCAGCAGGUUAAUACCCCGCUGUCCUGACGGUACCCAAAGAAUAAGCACCGGCUAACUUCGUG